rnacentral:rRNA from 1 species
UACGAAGGGUGCAAGCGUUACUCGGAAUUACUGGGCGUAAAGCGUGCGUAGGUGGUUUGUUAAGUCUGUUGUGAAAGCCCCGGGCUCAACCUGGGAAUGGCAAUGGAUACUGGCAGGCUAGAGUGCGGUAGAGGGUAGUGGAAUUCCCGGUGUAGCGGUGAAAUGCGUAGAGAUCCGGAGGAACACCGACGGCGCAGGCAGCGUCCUGGCCGCUUGCUGACACUGAGGCACGAAAGCUGGGGGAGCGAACAGG